CAGCUGUCUGGGGGAAAAUAUGUAAGCAGGCGAUUGGACCAAGAGGGAAAUAAAAGAAGUUGAUGUUAGAGGAGAACGGAGGAAGGAUUUGUGGGGAGGCAGCAGUGACACAGCAAGCAAGGAAUCGGAGGCAGAGAGAGACUGGAUUAAUUUGAGAUAAGUGUCUGGUUAUUCUGGUUCAUAGUUAUUCUAUGAAGAAGCACUGCGUUGACAUACUGUUGAAGUUCAUGACUCUCUGUCUAGUUGCUGAGGAUGGAUGUUUGGGAAUGACACAACAGCGAGAGCCCUGUUUUGUAUCAACGCAUGGAGAGAACAUCAGUUGGGGUUGUUGUGUGGGCCCGUACUCUGCUUUAAGGAUUUGAGGACCCCGUGACAUAUGGAAUUGAGUAUCCACUGACUCGACCAUUCAUAUUGAAUCUGUGCUGAAGUACUGUAGAGUCACUGAACUGGUGCUGAAACCCCACUGAGCCACGGAACGGAGACAGCCACUGAUGAUAUCCAGCCUGUGAACUCUAGGAACGGAGUUACCACCAAGCCGUCGCCAUCUGGUGCCGUAGCCAUUCGGGCUGUAUUCACCUUACUGUGUUGGUAGUGGAGGAGGGGAACUAGAGCCACACACACCAUCAUUCAGUCUCUAGGGAGGAAGCUCGUACUGCUUUUAGAGAC
ensembl:lncRNA